rnacentral:rRNA from 1 species
AGAGUUUGAUCCUGGCUCAGAGUGAACGCUGGCGGCGUGCUUAACACAUGCAAGUCGAACGAGAACGGAUUAUAGCUUGCUAUAAUUGUCAGCUAAGUGGCGCACGGGUGAGUAAUAGUAUAGGUAAUGUGCCCUAGAGAAGAGGAUAACGAGUUGGAAACGACUGCUAAGACUCUAUAUGCCGUUUAAGACAGAAGUCUGCAAGGGGAAAUACUUUAUAGCUUCUAGGAUCAGCCUGUACAGUAUCAGUUAGUUGGUGAGGUAAUGGCUCACCAAGACAAUGACGCUUAACUGGUUUGAGAGGAUGAUCAGUCACACUGGAACUGAGACACGGUCCAGACUCCUACGGGAGGCAGCAGUGGGGAAUAUUGCACAAUGGACGAAAGUCUGAUGCAGCAACGCCGCGUGGAGGAUGACACAUUUCGGUGCGUAAACUCCUUUUAUAUGGGAAGAUAAUGACGGUACCGUAUGAAUAAGCACCGGCUAACUCCGUGCCAGCAGCCGCGGUAAUA